rnacentral:rRNA from 1 species
UGAACGCUGGCGGCGUGCCUAACACAUGCAAGUCGAACGAAGCAUCCUUCCGAUGAAUGGACCAGCUUGCUGGGAAAGGAAUCAAUUGGGAUGACUGAGUGGCGGACGGGUGAGUAACGCAUGGGUAACCUGCCCCAUAGAGGGGGACAACAGCUGGAAACGGCUGCUAAUACCGCAUAGCAGGAAAGAGACGCAUGUCUUUUUCUUCAAAGAUUUAUCGCUAUGGGAUGGACCCGCGUCUGAUUAGCUAGUUGGUAAGGUAACGGCCUACCAAGGCGACGAUCAGUAGCCGGCUUGAGAGAGUGGACGGCCACAUUGGGGCUGAGACACGGCCCAGACUCCUACGGGAGGCAGCAGUGGGGAAUAUUGCACAAUGGGGGAAACCCUGAUGCAGCGACGCCGCGUGAGUGAAGAAGUAUUUCGGUAUGUAAAGCUCUAUCAGCAGGGAAGAUAAUGACGGUACCUGACUAAGAAGCCCCGGCUAACUACGUG